CGUGUAGGCGGGAAUAUAAGUCAGAUGUGAAAUACCGAGGCUUAACUUCGGGGCUGCAUCUGAAACUAUGUUUCUUGAGUGUCGGAGAGGAAAGUGGAAUUCCCAGUGUAGCGGUGAAAUGCGUAGAGAUUGGGAGGAACACCAGUGGCGAAGGCGACUUUCUGGACGAUAACUGACGCUGAGGCGCGAAAGCGUGGGGAGCAAACAGGAUUAGAUACCCUGGUAGUCCACGCUGUAAACGAUGGAUACUAGGUGUAGGAGGUAUCGACCCCUUCUGUGCCGCAGUUAACACAAUAAGUAUCCCACCUGGGGAGUACGGCCGCAAGGUUGA
rnacentral:rRNA from 1 species